rnacentral:rRNA from 1 species
CUGCAAAGCCGGCGAGGCAGAAGCUAAUCUCAAAAAGCCGGUCUCAGUUCGGAUUGGAGUCUGCAACUCGACCCCAUGAAGUCGGAAUCGCUAGUAAUCGCGUAUCAGCCACGACGCGGUGAAUACGUUCCCGGGCCUU